GGAUGCAGCAGAGAUUUAAUGAAGGGCCUUCAUAGAGCAAAUCAGAUAAGCUUUUCUAGUGUCAGCAAGGUGUCUAACCAGAGCAGACAGGUUCGAGUUAAUUGGAAAAAGGACCAGAAGCAAGAAAAACGUUAUCAUUUUAGAGGAUCUGUCCUGAGUCCAGCAUGUGUCAUUACAAAGAAAGCACAGCAGCACCCCUACUUUCUUAAAUGCGAAGAUUCAGCACGUCACCUGAAACUUUAACGAACUUCUAUAGAUUCACAGUGGAGAGUAUACUGACUGGCUACAUCACAGCCGGAUAUGAAAGCACCAACAACCUUGAAUGGAAAACUGACAAGAAGUAAUGGGUACAGCCCAGUCCACCCCAGGACAGCUGGAUUUCCACGUUUCGAUCCUACGUCAUCAUGUGACGUCCCCCAACAAACAAGUUUAGAAGCUUUUGGCCUUCAUGACAAAGUGAUGUACCCUGAGGCUAAUUCUGAUUGGGCCAUUGCCUAACCGAAUAAUUCCUUUAAUUAUCUUGCUAUUCAAAGAUAAACCUUGAUCUCUGUACCAGAUACACCUUCAAAAGCAAUGUAUGCCUCAAGUCCAUGUAGUAUAUGCACAGAAAUAAAUCUUCAUAUGAG